ACCCCGCGGCUGCUGCUGACAGGCCCUUACGAUGUCCAAGCCAAUGGCGUCCAGUCACCUUGACUCACAGCAAAGGAAAUGGACGCCUCAGAUGUCCGAUGAACGGUACCAGCUAGUACAUUCCCUUCUGUUUGUAUAGUAUCCCAACUUACCUCCAGGAACAGUUUUAAGAAAUUGAUACCAUCUGGUGCUGGGACUAAAUGGGCACAAGCAACCACAAAUGACUACAUCCUAAUUACCAACGGGGUGAAUGAAGUAAGAAUAAAACUGGCUCAUUGGAACUCACUACGUGUACACUUUGGAAGAGUCAUCAUAAUUUCUACUUUGGGUCAAUGCAUCGGUGGGUAUAGACGAAGUUCUUCAAAGCCACCGACUGUCUUGGGAAGCAUUCAUCUUAGUCACCCUGACCUUGUUCCUGGCCAGGACCUGUUGCACAAUUUGUUGGGCCCACUGCAAAAUAAAAAAUAUGGAACUUCAUAGAGCAGGAAUAAA